rnacentral:lncRNA from 1 species
UUGCCAUGGCAAUAAUCUGCAAUUGUGCAGAAAAUCCACAGAACUCGUGAGCAACUCCUUAGUGGAUUGGGCUGAAAGAAAAUCAAACCCGUGAAAGCCCUGAAUUGAUGUGGUUAUGAAAGCGCAUUGGCCAAGCUGGCUUUCCUUCCUCUGACCCCCAUCUAACUAUGGUGAACGCCCUCGUGUUCAAGAUGGGGGGCCCCUGUUAUUGCAUCUUCACACAUGAUGUCCAAAGCAGGAAGACAGGAAGAGAAGCAAAAAGGGAUUUCUUCUUUGGCUACUAUCUCUUUUAUUGAGCAGGAUAAACCUGCCUCAGCAGACUGCUCCUAUGUUUCACUGACUGUGAGUCACAUGAUUCAUACCUACACAAGUCACUAGGAAAGAGCAGUAGAGAUGCCACAGUUGCCUUAGCCUGGCUGGAUUUGUUCCCUCAGGCUGGACCCAGAACCACCUGAUAAAACUCAGGAUUUAACAAACUAAGAAGGAUGCCAGCUCCAGGAAUGGGCUUAAGGAAACCUAUCUAUUUGCUUAAGGAUUGAGCUUGCCGUCCUGAUCCAGCCAACUCACCAACUGUGCUCCUUCCAUUCCAGUAUUCUCUCCCAGGAAAAAAUUUUUCUUCUACUAUGGUUCUGGCUUUGUGAUCUGUGUACAUUUAAUCAUUCGUGCAGAGCUUUAAAAUUUAUAGUGUGCUUCCAUGCCCACAGGUCUAAGAAAGUCAAGGACUUGAUAUUUACCAUUCAUUGGCUCUACACAAAUGGGGAUCUGCACUCAGAAGCCACAGAAAAAGAAGAAAAUGCAGUUCACCACCUCCCAGCAGUCCUGGUGGUGUAGGAGGAUGCGCCGAGGCCAAUCUUUGAUGGCUGCUGGUUACUUCCUCAUGAGCAGUGUUAGGCUGGGGACAGCAGGCCGGAAAGGAGUGCUUGGAGAGUGUCUUGACCUUCACAGAUGUCUUGCAAAAGGAAGGAUCGAAUGGCACACAUCUGUGAAUAGACAGCCACAUCUCUGCUGCCAGAAUACAGCUGCUGAGGUGUUUGGGGCUUACUUGGAGAAAUGAGGACAUUGAUCUGGGUGAAUGGUAGUAGCUGUACACAUACAAAGUACUGUUCACUUCUUUGCUAAGGUUUUAUGUACACUCUGAGGAUAUCAGAGAAUUCGGAGAAAAUCCAUGGCACAGAUUGGAUGCAUAAUACAUGUACGUACUUGGGGAUGAGGCUCCCAGGCUCCUGAUAGCAGGUAGAGGAGAGAACGAGACCGCAAAGAGGGAAGCCGAGAGGAGUGAUGAAGACCCUGGCCCUACCAUCUACUCAGGCUGUCUUUGCAGCCACACUGUGAGCCCAGGCUGGUUAACGCUUCCUCCUGGAGGAGAAAAGCUAAGAGAGAAAACAAAAUCCAUGCAGCGCGCUCCCCCUCGGCCCCUCCUCUCUGUCUCCUCUGUGCGCUAACCUCCAAUGCCCUGCGGGAACCAAUUACAGUAUUCUAAUGAGUGUA